AUACGUAGGGUGCAAGCGUUAAUCGGAAUUACUGGGCGUAAAGCGUGCGCAGGCGGUUUUGUAAGACAGUGGUGAAAUCCCCGGGCUCAACCUGGGAACUGCCAUUGUGACUGCAAGGCUGGAGGGCGGCAGAGGGGGGUGGAAUUCCGCGGGUAGCAGGGAAAUGCGUAGAUAGGCGGAGGAACACCGAUGGCGAAGGCAAUCCCCUGGGCCUGCACUGACGCUCAUGCACGAAAGCGUGGGGAGCAAACAGGAUUAGAUACCCUGGUAGUCCACGCCCUAAACGAUGUCAACUGGUUGUUGGGGAUUUAUUUUCUCAGUAACGAAGCUAACGCGUGAAGUUGACCGCCUGGGGAGUACGGCCGCAAGGUUAAAACUCAAAUGAAUUGACGGGG
rnacentral:rRNA from 1 species